GGGGGCGAUCAGGUUUCGACAGGGAUAGAGAAGGCAAGGACGGCAGGUCGAGGUUUGUCGAAGGCUCGUUAAUCAAUCGACAACAAAACUAAGAGCUGACACUAAGUUAGCAUUAGCCGCGUAAGCGGACACGCUCACCUUGUUUUGCCCAUUGGAUAGGGAUGAGUGUCAAAGAGAUGGGAUAGUUCCGGCUUUUGCCUUGGGAGUCGGGAUGAGAUUUAAAGGCUGCUCCGUCUCGAAUCCUGUCUUUGGGUAAUAGGGCGGGGGAGAUUCCAAACAAAGACUAAACCUGUAGAUGUCCUGCUGAAAUAUUUCUGGACGCGGGUUCGAUUCCCGCCGCCUCCACCA
rnacentral:tmRNA from 1 species